rnacentral:tRNA from 2 species
GGUGCCGUAGUGUAGUGGUUAUCAUGCGACGUUGUGGUUUGUCCCACAGUCCCGUCUCGACCUGGGUUCGAUUCCCAGCGGCGCCA